rnacentral:lncRNA from 1 species
CUCUGUGCAAAAGUUUCUAUACCCCAAACCAGACCGUACAGAUACCGGGCCAUUACGCACUUUCAGAAAGUUUAGAAGAGUAGCAUUGUCACCUGGUCACCCCAGUGGGAAAAACAAAACAAAACCCAGGGCUGUGUGAGCACCAAGGAGACUCAGAGGUGAAGAGAAAAGUCAGGCCCAUAGGAGAAGUAAAGGUCUUCAAGAAAAAAUCUCUGCAUAUACAUGCAUACACACAUAAUAUGUCAAUUAAAAUCAAUGUGCAUUUUCGUUUGACAUAGAAGAAAGAGUGGAAAAGUUAUAUUUCCAAAUAUUAUAAAACUUUUAAGAUAUUAACAAAGCCAAAAUAACCAGUCCAAUAUUGAAGAACCCAGUUGGAGGAUUGGAAUUUUCCAAACUCAGAUCUAUCCUAUUACUCUACUUUAAUCAAGACAGCAGACUAUUGGCAAAAGAACAGAGACAUGGAUUGGUGGAACAGACAGUCAGCCCAGAAGGAGAUUCACUCAAGUCGAGCCAGCUGAUCCUCCAGGAGGCAGAGCAAGUCCACACAGAGAGGAAAGUCAGCCGAGGGGCUGGACAGCUGGACGGCACAUCCCAAACUUGAAUCUAGACCCUGCUCGUGAAAAGCAGCUCCAAAUGGAUCACAGGCCUAGAUGUGAAUUGCAAAACCAUAGCACUCUUGGCCCAUAACAGAAGAAAACCCAGGUGACUUUGACCUUGGACACACCACCAAAGACCUGGCCCAUGAACGAGAGAACCAGUGAGAGGCGAUUCAUCAAAAUCAGAACUUCGUCUCUGGGAAAGAAAAGUCCAGAGGGGGAGAAAAACACAAACUGUUGGAAAAUAUUCACAAAUGACGUGUCUGGUAAAGGACUGCAAUGCAAACACACAAAGAACUCUUAAAUCCAACAACAAGAAAACAAAAAACCCAACUUUAAAAAAUGGGCAAAAGAGCUCAAGAAAUACAAGAAGAUAUACAGAUGGCAAAUAAGUUUAUGAAAAGAUGCUCAGUGUCAUAUCUCAUUAGGGAAUUGAAAUUUUUUUGAAAUAAAAACGUAGACUUCGGGUGAUGACGACCUAUAUAACUCACGUUUAUCACUUGAAACAAAUGGACCUUUCUGGUGCAGGUUGGGGAUGGCGGGUUCUUAGGGUUCUCUAGAGAAACCGAACCAUUAGUAUAUGAUAGAGAUAAAUUGGUUUCAAGAAAUCGGGUCCUGUGGUUUGGGAGCCUGCAGGUCAUGAGCUGAAGGUACAUCAGCAAGCGCAGACCCAGGAAGGCUGAUGGGUAACUGGCAGCCCAAGGCCAGCAGGCCCAAGACCCAGAAGGAGCAGACAUUUUUGACCCACCGGGAAGGCAGGGGAGGCCACGUCCCUGCUCAGGGAAGUGAGCAAGGAAGCUCCUUCUGGGACACUCAGCUGGUGGCUUCUGUCCUUCCCCUGAUCCCAAGGGCCCACCUGCCCUCAGGAGGGCAGUCUGCUCUGCCCAAUCGGCUGAUUGGCACAGUCACCGCAUCCAGAAACACCGUCACAGACACACCCAGGAUAACCUCUGAUCAGAUGUGUGCGGGCCCCAUGGCCCAGCGAAGCCAGGGCACACAGCCACCCCAGCUGGGUUCCCUGUGAGGCAGACAGGGGCUGUGGGGGAACUCUGUGGACCUUCUCCCCAACUUUUCUGUGAAUGUGAGCAACUGCUCUAAAAGAAUAAAACUUGUAAAGUCUGUAUUGUUUUAAAAAGCUUAACUGCUCAAAGAAGUAACCUGUGAAAGAGGAAUGAAUCCGACAGAAGUAAAUCUCAGGUGGGUGGCGUUGAUGAGCUCCCCAGAGCAGGCGUCAACCCACUCCCAUCUCAUGGUGGUCAUCAUAAGGAAGCAAGUUCAAUUUCUCCAAGGACUGUUCAGUAUCUUCCAUGAGGAUUCCUGGGCACCGCUCAAGGCAGUGAGUGAAAUCUUUAGUCAGAGGAACCCAGACACCUUCAGUCCACAGCACAGGACAGGUGUCAAUCCAGACCUUCAGCACAGAGCACACUCGGACCCGGAGGACACCGUGAAGGACCCCAGACUCAUUGGCAGCAAUAAGAGAAGGGAGUUUUGUGACUGGAAAGUCAGGCUCAUGAACUUCGCCUUUGGAAACCACUGCUCUCAAAGCCAGCCCAGGUCCAGCCAAGGCUCUGGAAGCUCUCGAGAGGAAGCUGGAGUUCAGGGGAUGUGACAGUUUGAAUUGCAUUUCCUGUCAUAACCUUGCAGCCACGGUUUUUUUCUCCCAAGCAGGAAAUGAAUUGUUUCCUUAUUGCCAAAGACCUGAGAUAAAAGGUUAAGUGUCCCAGAGCGGAAUGUCGUCCAGCAUGCAGAAUUCCCCCGGGAAACACGGACCAAGUACUCAACCUGUGACCACAGGCACAGGGUCUUUCUAGUGAGGAAGAGAAGGGCCACCCCAGCUUUAGCCAAGAGGAAAGUGUCCCUUAGGUGAAGUGACUCUCUAAGAAGGACCCUGAACAGGAGAGUUGAUUCCAGCAACUAUCCACAUGCCUGGAGCCCCAAACGUGGGGACCUGCUCAGCAGAGUGGCAAUUUUACCUUCCUCCCAGAAGUGAAAUUGGGCUGAGUUGAACCUACGUGUACUCACAACAGCCCUGGAGGGCUGAGGCCUGAGUUCCUGUCCUGUGGGAGCCCUGGAGCACGCAGCCCACGGACCAUCUCCGAACACCCAAUGUCAGAACUGGGGGUCUCUCUUAUAUUUGACCUCACGAGCAACUGUGUGAAAACUAGGGUUAAAUAAAUGCUAUGACACUCCACUGCAAGAAAAACUCACGUGAGAUUUGGUCACAGGAACUACAUUUAAAGUAAAAAUUGCUCAUUUUACACAAGAAAAACAGAUCUAGACUUUUCCCCUCAAACCACAGUGUUAUGCUCCUGCUCUUUUCAAGGUCCUCCCUGUCAUCCUUCUGGUCUCCGCUGGCAACACUGCAUAAAAUUUCCAGAGGUUCUUCUCUUGUUCACUAGUAGAAUUGCCUGCUAUGGCCAUUUUGCAAUUUCUCUCCUAAUGUCUUAAGAAUUUAGCACAAUUUCAUAGAAGGCAUCCUACCUGGUCCUCCACGGCUGCUGAGUUCAAGGACACCCUGAGGAUGCCAACCCCCGAGGCCACUGGAGUCCAGCAAGCCAACCCUCCAUGUCCAUGGGGCUGCAUCCUGGGAUAUGCAGGGCCAUUCUUCUGUCACUUCACCAAAUUCAAAGGUCUACUCAAAUUACAGCCUUUAGUUUUGUCUUUUUCUCCUACAGCCCAUGUUUAUCUGUGCCAUAUACACUGGCUUGUUGUGAAACUAAGNACACAUGUCUAUAAUCCCAGGGACUGAAUCCCAAGAGACUGAAACAGGAGGACUACAAGUUGGAGGCCAGCCUCCUCAGAAAUUUAGUGAAAUUCUGUCUCAAAAUAAAGAUAAAAAACAGAGCUGGGAUGUAGCUCAGAGGUACAGAUCCCUGGGUUAAAUCCUGAAUACCACAAAAACAUAUAUAUAUUGUCAAAAGUUCAUUGGGCAUUUGUUUUAUUUAAAAUCACUGUCAGAUUUUUUUCUAUUUCUUACUGACAGGUAGAUAUUGAAAUAUACUUGCAUUUAAUCCUUUGUUAUAUAUUAGCUUGCCACUUAUAUUUUAAUUUGGUUUAGAUUAUCUUUUGAAAUAAGCUACAAACUUAUCAACUCAAAAAAAAAAAAAAAGCCAGACACUUCUUAUAAAUUUCCAAGAAUAUAGACUUGUAUCUAACAAAAAGACUAGUUCAUAAUACUCAGUCACUUUUAGUGACAAAACUGGUAAUUGCACACAGGCUUACCUACUUCACUCGGAUGAGCAAAAGUUGCAAAUAUUAACUUGAAGCUAAUGAAUGGUGAGCAUUAUAGUUACAUUUCACAAAUUUAUAUCAGUGUAUUUCCUCCAUUCAUCCGGGUGGAUCUAUAGUGACACACUCAACGUGAGCGUGCCCCUGUGUUCCUGCAAGAGGAGUUGGAGCCACACUGGAGCUGUGCAUGGGAACUGGCAGCUCUCCUUCUGGGCGAAGGCAGAGAUGCGGUGAUAGCAAUGUUGUAAUAGCGUUCUGUGACAGGGUUCACUUGGGACACAGUGUUCUGUUCUUGUCAGUUCCUGUUAAUCUAAAUGUGACUUUUGCAAUGAGGAAGAGAGGCAGCAAUCUAAGAAAGCAACUUGUGAGAAAAAAAAAAAACACAAAGAAGUAAACAUGUGUGGCUUGUGAAUGUUGAAGACUCUCACUUCUAAGGAAGUGCUCACCCAAUGUUGGAGGGGACCCUGUGACUCCACGUGUGUGUGUGUGUGUGUGUGUGUGUAAGCACACACAAGUGUAAGCAAGUAUGCGUUCCCACAUUCAUAGAAGAUGAACCAGAAAGUGCCCGUGGAUUCCACGGGAACUGGCCUGAACUUGGACGCACUGGAAUUACAUCAAAGGCACCCCAGAGGUUUUGGAGAGGAAUCGAGCCAAAGCCUCUGCGUCCAGUUAGGGCGGAAUCAACUCUGGGACUGGGUCUGGCGGGCGAUCCUGCAAGCCAGAAACUUGAUGGACGGUGCUGCUGAGCUAAGCCAGGCUGCAGUUGCGACAUAAACGACACGUUCUUUUCCAGUUUCGGGGGAGAGCCAAGCUCAAGCCCAGGAUGUCUUCAUUUCCCUUCAUUCCUCCCUUCCUCUUGAAUUUAGAAAUAACAGUGCAGUCGACAGACAAGCAAGAGAUUUCUCAAUGCCUUCUCCCAGGGCACCCACAUACCGCGGGCAGAAGGGUGGGAGCCAGUCCCAGAGUGGCCGCACAGGAGCCUCCCGGGAAGCCUCUCCCGCCACUCUCAGGAGUCCUUCCUGGCCGCUGUGGUGGCGCCUGCAGGCAGGUCUCUCUGGAGGGUCGGGGCAUGACUAGGAGUGGCCUGGUGUCCCCUGCCAGCGUGGAUGCCCCCCCAGCUCCUGGAGGGGCUGAGUCAGCGCCCCGCGGCAAGAAGUGCGGUGCCGUGGGCUCCUGGAGGUGCUCUGCCGUUUGGUGCCGGGUUUGAAUCUUGGCUCCCCACCCAAAGAGCCAGAGGGACUCUGACCUCUUGGCACUUGCUGGGGUGAAUCCAGCCACUUUGGGAAGGAAAAGUCAAGAGACUGAAGG